AGAGUUUGAUCAUGGCUCAGAUUGAACGCUGGCGGCAGGCCUAACACAUGCAAGUCGAACGGUAACAGGAAGCAGCUUGCUGCUUUGCUGACGAGUGGCGGACGGGUGAGUAAUGUCUGGGAAACUGCCUGAUGGAGGGGGAUAACUACUGGAAACGGUGGCUAAUACCGCAUAACGUCGCAAGACCAAAGAGGGGGACCUUCGGGCCUCUUGCCAUCAGAUGUGCCCAGAUGGGAUUAGCUUGUUGGUGAGGUAACGGCUCACCAAGGCGACGAUCCCUAGCUGGUCUGAGAGGAUGACCAGCCACACUGGAACUGAGACACGGUCCAGACUCCUACGGGAGGCAGCAGUGGGGAAUAUUGCACAAUGGGCGCAAGCCUGAUGCAGCCAUGCCGCGUGUAUGAAGAAGGCCUUCGGGUUGUAAAGUACUUUCAGCGGGGAGGAAGGUGUUGUGGUUAAUAACCACAGCAAUUGACGUUACCCGCAGAAGAAGCACCGGCUAACUCCGUGCCAGCAGCCGCGGUAAUACGGAGGGUGCAAGCGUUAAUCGGAAUUACUGGGCGUAAAGCGCACGCAGGCGGUCUGUCAAGUCGGAUGUGAAAUCCCCGGGCUCAACCUGGGAACUGCAUUCGAAACUGGCAGGCUUGAGUCUUGUAGAGGGGGGUAGAAUUCCAGGUGUAGCGGUGAAAUGCGUAGAGAUCUGGAGGAAUACCGGUGGCGAAGGCGGCCCCCUGGACAAAGACUGACGCUCAGGUGCGAAAGCGUGGGGAGCAAACAGGAUUAGAUACCCUGGUAGUCCACGCCGUAAACGAUGUCUACUUGGAGGUUGUGCCCUUGAGGCGUGGCUUCCGGAGCUAACGCGUUAAGUAGACCGCCUGGGGAGUACGGCCGCAAGGUUAAAACUCAAAUGAAUUGACGGGGGCCCGCACAAGCGGUGGAGCAUGUGGUUUAAUUCGAUGCAACGCGAAGAACCUUACCUGGUCUUGACAUCCACAGAAUUUUGCAGAGAUGCGGAAGUGCCUUCGGGAACUGUGAGACAGGUGCUGCAUGGCUGUCGUCAGCUCGUGUUGUGAAAUGUUGGGUUAAGUCCCGCAACGAGCGCAACCCUUAUCCUUUGUUGCCAGCGGUUAGGCCGGGAACUCAAAGGAGACUGCCAGUGAUAAACUGGAGGAAGGUGGGGAUGACGUCAAGUCAUCAUGGCCCUUACGACCAGGGCUACACACGUGCUACAAUGGCGCAUACAAAGAGAAGCGACCUCGCGAGAGCAAGCGGACCUCAUAAAGUGCGUCGUAGUCCGGAUUGGAGUCUGCAACUCGACUCCAUGAAGUCGGAAUCGCUAGUAAUCGUGGAUCAGAAUGCCACGGUGAAUACGUUCCCGGGCCUUGUACACACCGCCCGUCACACCAUGGGAGUGGGUUGCAAAAGAAGUAGGUAGCUUAACCUUCGGGAGGGCGCUUACCACUUUGUGAUUCAUGACUGGGGUGAAGUCGUAACAAGGUAACCGUAGGGGAACCUGCGGUUG
rnacentral:rRNA from 1 species